GCCAUUCUAACAGCAACACAGAUCAAAUACACAAAGUACAACAAUGAAUUAUCAAAAAUGGAAAACAGGAAUAAAACAAGUCCCAAUUAUAGAUCAUUGUAAUUGCCCAUUUCAUUUUCCUGAACAAUGGAGUGAAGCGUGAUUACUCACCUGUGUCCUCACUCUGAGUAAUCCAUGUCUUUAGGAGGAAAGUCGUGCAGACCCCGGACUCCUACAGGUGGAUAACAUUCAGUG